UACGUAGGGUGCGAGCGUUUAAUCGGAAUUACUGGGCGUAAAGCGUGCGCAGGCGGUUUUGUAAGCCGGAUGUGAAAUCCCCGGGCUUAACCUGGGAAUGGCAUUCGGGACUGCAAGGCUGGAGUGCGGCAGAGGAGACUGGAAUCCUGGUGUAGCAGUGAAAUGCGUAGAUAUCAGGAGGAACACCGAUGGCGAAGGCAGGUCUCUGGGCUGACACUGACGCUCAUGCACGAAAGCGUGGGGAGCAAACAGG
rnacentral:rRNA from 1 species